AUUUGGGUAGCUUAAAUAAAGCACAUCUCUGAAGAGGAUAAGAUGAAAUAACUUCCCCAGAUA
rnacentral:tRNA from 1 species